UUCUGUAAUGCAGGCCUUCCUCCUUACCUAAGGAAAUGUGCCUGAAUGUUAAAGGGUCACUAUGAUAAAGUGAACAUAGAGGUACACCAACCCUCUCAUUUCCUAACACUCUGCAUUAGAAAAGUGGGAGUUGAACCCAGACAAAAGAGAUCAAAACUCUUCAUACUUCCCUUAUAUUAUUUCCUAAUAAGGUCAGCUAAAUAAGCUAUCGGGCCCAUACCCCGAAAAUGAUGGUUCAACCCCUUCCCUUAUUAAUGAACCCCUACGCUAAACUAACAUUCUCCUUGAGCCUUAUAUUAGGAACAACCAUCACCAUUUCAAGUAGCCAUUAAAUGUCGGCCUGGGCCGGACUUGAAAUCAACACCCUAGCCAUCAUCCCGCUUAUUUCAAAGUCCCACCACCCUCGAGCCAUCGAAGCAGCGAUCAAAUACUUCCUCGUCCAAGCUGCUGCCUCCACCCUACUGCUAUUCUCAAGCAUAAUUAAUGCCUGACACACAGGACAAUGAGACAUCACUCAACUAAACCACCCCACAUCAUCCCUGCUACUGACCACAGCAAUUGCAAUAAAACUUGGCUUAGUGCCCUUCCACUUCUGAUUCCCCGAAGCCCUGCAAGGCUCCCCCCUAACAACAGCUAUACUCUUGUCAACAGUAAUAAAAUUCCCCCCAAUGACUAUUCUUUUCCUCACAUCCCACUC